rnacentral:rRNA from 1 species
AACCACCUGGGGAGUACGUUGGCGACAAUGAAACUCAAAGGAAUUGACGGGGACCCGCACAAGCGGUGGAACAUGUGGUUUAAUUCGAUGAUACGCGAGGAACCUUACCUGGACUUAAAUGUAGAUUGCAUAGAGUAGAGAUAUUCUUUUCUUCGGACUAUCUACAAGGUGCUGCAUGGUUGUCGUCAGCUCGUGCCGUGAGGUGUCGGGUUAAGUCCCAUAACGAGCGCAACCCCUAUCGUUAGUUGCCAUCAGGUUAAGCUGGGGACUCUAACGAAACUGCCUGUGCAAACAGAGAGGAAGGUGGGGAUGACGUCAAAUCGGCACGGCCCUUACGUCCAGGGCUACACACGUGUUACAAUGGCAUAGACAGAGGGCAGCUACCAGGCGACUGGAUGCGAAUCUCGAAACUAUGUCUCAGUUCGGAUCAGAGUCUGCAACCCGGCUCCGUGAAGUUGGAAUCGCUAGUAAUCGCGCAUCAGCCAUGGCGCGGUGAAUACGUUCCCGGGUCUUGUACACACCGCCCGUCAAGCCAUGGAAGCCGAGGGGACCUGAAGUACGUAACCGCAAGGAGCGUCCUAGGGUAAAAUUGGUAACUGGGGCUAAGUCGUAACAAGGUAGCCG